rnacentral:tRNA from 1 species
GGGCACAUGGUGUAGUUGGUUAUCACGCCCGCUUAGCACUUGCUAGUCUGCGGGCGGUCCCCGGUUCAAUUCCGGGUGUGUCCA